rnacentral:rRNA from 1 species
GAUGAACGCUGGCGGCGUGCCUAAUACAUGCAAGUCGAGCGAACAGACGAGGAGCUUGCUCCUCUGACGUUAGCGGCGGACGGGUGAGUAACACGUGGAUAACCUACCUAUAAGACUGGGAUAACUUCGGGAAACCGGAGCUAAUACCGGAUAAUAUAUUGAACCGCAUGGUUCAAUAGUGAAAGACGGUUUUGCUGUCACUUAUAGAUGGAUCCGCGCCGCAUUAGCUAGUUGGUAAGGUAACGGCUUACCAAGGCAACGAUGCGUAGCCGACCUGAGAGGGUGAUCGGCCACACUGGAACGGAGACACGGUCCAGACUCUUACGGGAGGCAGCAGUAGGGAAUCUUCCGCAAUGGGCGAAAGCCUGACGGAGCAACGCCGCGUGAGUGAUGAAGGUCUUCGGAUCGUAAAACUCUGUUAUUAGGGAAGAACAAAUGUGUAAGUAACUAUGCACGUCUUGACGGUACCUAAUCAGAAAGCCACGGCUAACUACGUG